CCUGGUGAUUAGAGCGGCGGGGACACACCCGGUCCCAUCCCGAACCCGGUCGUUAAGCCCGCCAGCGCCGAUGGUACUGCCCUGGACACGGGGUGGGAGAGUAGGCCAUCGCCAGGA
rnacentral:rRNA from 1 species